CCCUUAGAUGUUCUGGGUCGCACGCGCGCUACACUGACUGCUCCAACAAGUUACCUGGGCUGACAAGCAUCCGGGAAAUCUUGCAAAGGCAGUCGUGAUGGGGAUAGAUUCUUGUAAUUUUUGAUCUUCAACGAGGAAUUCCUAGUAAACGCAAGUCAUCAGCUUGCAUUGAUUACGUCCCUGCCCUUUGUACACACCGCCCGUCGCAUCUACCGAUUGAAUGGAGAGGCAAAAUCUUCGGACCGUGACGCUUGGGAGUCAAAUCUCGGGCUGUCGUGGGAAGUGGAUUAAACCUUUCUAUUUAGAGGAAGGUAAAGUCGUAACA
rnacentral:rRNA from 1 species